rnacentral:misc_RNA from 1 species
GAUGAAGAACGUAGCGAAAUGCGAUAAGUAAUGUGAAUUGCAGAAUUCAGUGAAUCAUCGAAUCUUUGAACGCACAUUGCGCCCCUUGGUAUUCCGAGGGGCAUGCCUGUUCGAGCGUCAUUUCAACCCCUCAAGCUUAGCUUGGUGUUGGGCUGCGCCAGCGUUGCUGGCGGGCCUUAAAAUCAGUGGCGGUGCCGUUUGGGCUCCAAGCGUAGUAGCAUCUCUCGCUCUGGAGACCCGGCGGUUGCUUGCCAGACAAUCACUAAAAAAACAAAAGGUUUGACCUCGGAUCAGGUAGGGAUACCCGCUGAACUUAAGCAUACAAUAAGCGGAGGA